rnacentral:rRNA from 1 species
GAUGAACGCUAGCGGCAGGCCUAAUACAUGCAAGUCGGACGGGAUUCGGGACUUCGGUUCCGAUGAGAGUGGCGCACGGGUGCGUAACACGUAUGUAACCUACCCUUGUCAGGGGGAUAGCCUCUCGAAAGAGAGAUUAAGCCCGCAUAACAUUAUGAUAUAGCAUUAUAUUAUAAUCAAAUAUUUAUAGGACGAGGAUGGGCAUGCGGAACAUUAGCUAGUGGUAAGGUAACGGCUUACCAAGGCGACGAUGUUUAGGGGAUCUGAGAGGAUGACCCCCCACACUGGUACUGAGACACGGACCAGACUCCUACGGGAGGCAGCAGUAAGGAAUAUUGGUCAAUGGGCGCAAGCCU